rnacentral:rRNA from 1 species
ACGGGUGAGUAACGCGUUGGUGACCUACCCCAAAGUGUGGGAUAACAGUCCGAAAGGAUUGCUAAUACCGCAUGUGGUCCCCGGGUUUAGAAACCGGUGACUAAAGCAGUAAUGCGCUUUGGGAGGGACCUGCGUCCCAUCAGCUAGUUGGUGAGGUAACGGCUCACCAAGGCGUCGACGGGUAGGGGACCUGAGAGGGUGAUCCCCCACAAUGGCACUGAAACACGGGCCAUACACCUACGGGUGGCAGCAGUAGGGAAUAUUGGGCAAUGGGCGAAAGCCUGACCCAGCAACGCCGCGUGUACGAUGAAGGUCUUCGGAUCGUAAAGUACUUUUCUGGGAGAUGAGUAAGGACAGUAUCCCAGGAAUAAGCUUCGGCUAACUACGUGCCAGCAGCCGCGGUAAAACGUAGGAAGCGAGCGUUAUCCGGAUUUACUGGGCGUAAAGCGCGUGUAGGCGGUUUGGUAAGUUGGAUGUGAAAUCUCUCGGCUCAACUGGGAGAGGUCGUUCAAAACUACCAGACUAGAGGACAGUAGAGGAAGGUGGAAUUCCCGGUGUAGUGGUGAAAUGCGUAGA